rnacentral:rRNA from 1 species
CCUACGGGAGACAGCAGUGAGGAAUAUUGGUCAAUGGGCGUAAGCCUGAACCAGCCAAGUCGCGUGAGGGAUGAAGGUUCUAUGGAUCGUAAACCUCUUUUAUAAGGGAAUAAAGUGCGGGACGUGACCCGUUUUGUAUGUACUUUAUGAAUAAGCAUCGGCUAACUCCGUGCCAGCAGCCGCGGUAAUACGGAGGAUCCGAGCGUUAUCCGGAUUUAUUGGGUUUAAAGGGUGCGUAGGCGGCCUUUUAAGUCAGCGGUGAAAUUCUGUGGCUCAACCAUAGAAUGGCCGUUGAAACUGGGAGGCUUGAGAAGGUUUGAGGCAGGCGGAAGGCGUGGUGUAGCGGUGAAAUGCUUAGAUAUCACGCAGAACCCCGAUUGCGAAGGCAGCCUGCCAAGCCAUGACUGACGCUGAUGCACGAAAGCGUGGGGAUCAAACAGGAUUAGAUACCCGUGUAGUC